rnacentral:rRNA from 1 species
GUAACUUAUGACACUUUACUAGCUUAGAACUAGGACCGGGUACUAGUUAUUUUUAUUAUAAAACGUUUAUUAUGCCCGAAACCGAUCGAGCUAGCUGACGGCAGGUGCGGCUCUUUUCCGCGACCGAACCCGUGUUUGUGGCAAUAAACUGGGAAGACCGGCAGCUAGGGGUGAAAGGUCAAUCAAGUUCGGUAAGAUAGCUGGUUUUCUACGAAAUCUAUUCAGGUAAAGAGUGUAUGUUUGGACCAUUUUUAAUA